AUACGGAGGGGGCUAGCGUUGUUCGGAAUUACUGGGCGUAAAGCGUACGUAGGCGGACUGAUCAGUUGGGGGUGAAAUCCCAGGGCUUAACCCUGGAACUGCCUUCAAUACUGUCAGUCUUGAGAUUGGAAGAGGUGAGUGGAAUUCCUAGUGUAGAGGUGAAAUUCAUAGAUAUUAGGAGGAACACCAGUGGCGAAGGCGGCUCACUGGUCCAAUACUGACGCUGAGGUACGAAAGCGUGGGGAGCAAACAGGAUUAGAAACCCCUGUAGUCC
rnacentral:rRNA from 1 species